UACAGAGGGUGCGAGCGUUAAUCGGAAUUACUGGGCGUAAAGCGUGCGUAGACGGCUAUCUAAGUCGGGUGUGAAAGCCCCGGGCUCAACCUGGGAAUUGCAUUCGAGACUGAAUAGCUAGGGUGCGGUAGAGGGAAGCGGAAUUUCCGGUGUAGCGGUGAAAUGCGUAGAUAAUCGGAAGGAACAUCAGUGGCGAAAGCGGCUUCC
rnacentral:rRNA from 1 species